GACAGAGGGUGCAAACGUUGCUCGGAAUCACUGGGCGUAAAGGGCGUGUAGGCGGGACAGUAAGUCGGGCGUGAAAUCCCUGGGCUCAACCCAGGAACUGCACUCGAAACUACUAUUCUUGAGUGUCGGAGAGGAAAGCGGAAUUCCUGGUGUAGAGGUGAAAUUCGUAGAUAUCAGGAGGAACACCAGUGGCGAAGGCGGCUUCUGGACGAUAACUGACGCAU
rnacentral:rRNA from 1 species